UCAGGAUGAACGCUAGCUACAGGCUUAACACAUGCAAGUCGAGGGGCAGCAUUGGGAUAGCUUGCUAUCCAGAUGGCGACCGGCGCACGGGUGAGUAACGCGUAUCCAACCUUCCCUAUAGUAGAGAAUAGCCCGGCGAAAGUCGGAUUAAUGCUCUAUGUUGUGUUUUGAGGACAUCUGACGAACACCAAAGGUUCACCGCUAUAGGAUGGGGAUGCGUCUGAUUAGCUUGUUGGCGGGGUAACGGCCCACCAAGGCGACGAUCAGUAGGGGUUCUGAGAGGAAGGUCCCCCACAUUGGUACUGAGACACGGACCAAACUCCUACGGGAGGCAGCAGUGAGGAAUAUUGGUCAAUGGGCGAGAGCCUGAACCAGCCAAGUAGCGUGCAGGAAUGACUGCCCUAUGGGUUGUAAACUGCUUUUAUCAGGGAAUAAAGUGCGGCACGUGUGCCGUUUUGUAUGUACCUGAUGAAUAAGGACCGGCUAAUUCCGUGCCAGCAGCGGC
rnacentral:rRNA from 1 species